CCGGUCCUACCGCCGGCUGGCCGUCUUUUCCAGGCUUACCGUCCUCCACUUUAAUCGUGAAGACGUUCUUCGGAUUUGCCUCCAUCUCUCACCCUCAGGGUGGCACUGACCAGAGCCCUAAACGUCCAGAACUCAAGUUUUGUCUCGUACAGUGAAGGAGAAGAUAGCGGUCCACAAGGGCGAUCUGGAGAUAUGGCUGCUACUGGCGAUUGGUGCCCUCUCAGCAUCGACGUGCCUUUGUGGUCGGAAGUUUGGCAUCAACCCGAAAUUUGGGUUAAGUUGAUCUGACAUUGGUCUGGGAUCUGACAGAGAUCCUGUCCAACUCGGGGGAAAAAAAGAUGGCUGAGCGUGUAACGCUGCCGGUGCAACUAUCGUGCCUUCCUAUUUCAUGGUGAAAGGAUUUGUCACGACGGCCUAUUAAAUACUAGUGUGUCUAGUAAGACUUAGUAGUAUAAGUCUGGAUUAACCAAUUGCCCAACUUGACUUGUCUAGUCAUUGACUGAAUCCUGUUAUCCUUUCGGUUAAGAUUCUGAAUUUAAACUUGGAAACUGAUAUAUGGUAAAUGGUUCCACCGGUUCACCUACCCAACUAGGUCAUCUGCAAGAAAAAAAAAAGAAAUCAACUGAGCUGUAUUUGAGCAAUUAAAAUUUGUCUUGCUGUUAGCAAUUCUUCUUUUUUUUUUA